rnacentral:lncRNA from 1 species
GUUUUGUUAUUAGGAUGAUGGUGGCUUCAUAAAUGUCUUUGGGAGUGUUCCUCCUCUUCAGUCUUUUGGAAGAGUUUGAGAAGGAUUUGUAGAAAUUCUUAAUAUAUUUGCUAGAAUUCACCUGUGAAGCCAUCUGGCUCUGGAUUUUUGUUUGUAGGAAGUUUAUUAUAGAUUCCAUUUCACUUCUAGUGAUUGGUCUGUUCAAAUUAUGUAUUUAUUCCUAAUUCACUUUUGGUGGGCUGUAUGUUUCUAGAAAGUUGUCCAUUUCUUUGCACUGGUCAGAUUUGUUGGCAUAUGAUUGUUCAUUAUAUUCUCUUAAGGUUUUUUUGUAUUUCUGCAAUAUCAGUUGAGAUUUCUCCUAUUUCAUUUCUUAUUUUCUUUAUUUUGAUUUCCUCUCUUGUCUUCUUGGUGAGCCUGGCCAGAGGUUUGUUAAUUUUGUUUACCCUUUCGAAAAAACAGCUCUUGGUUUUAUUGAUUUUUUUUCUACUGUUUUUUUUUUAAAUCUCUAUUUUAUUGCUUUCCUUUCUGAUCUUUGAUUUCUCUCCUUCUGCUAACUCUAGGUCUUGUUCAUUCUUCUUUUUCUGAUUCUUUUAGAUGGUAGAUUAGGUUGUUUGAAAAUUUUCUUGUUUUUAAAGAAGGCCUGUAUCACUAUGAACUUCCCUCUUAAAAACGGCUUUUGCUGCAUCCAGUUGAUUUUGUAUGUAUGGCUGUUUUCAUUGUCAUUUGCCUCAAGAUAUUUUUUAAUUUCUUCUUCAAUUUCAUCGUUGACCCACUGGUUUUUUUUAGUAGUAUGUUGCUUAGUCUCCUUGUGAUUGUUUUUUUCUUAUUGCUUUUUCUGUGGUUGAUUUCUAAUUUCAUGCUGUUGUGAUCAGAAAAGAUGCUUAAAAUAAUUUCUAUACCCUUAAAUUUUUUGAGGCUUGUUUUGUGCCCUAGUAUGUGGUCAGUCCUAGAGAAUGGUCCAUGUACACUUGAAGAGAAUGUGCAUUUUGCUUUUGGGGGUAUGUAAUGUGUUGAAAAUAUCAAUUCAGUCUAAUUUACUGAAUAAUUUAGGAUCUCUUUUGCCUUACUGUUUUUCUGUCUAGAAGAUCUGUCCAUUGAUGUGAGUGGGAAGUUAAAAAUCUCCUACUAUUAUUGUAUUCCCAUCAAUUUCUCCCUUUAUGUCUGUUAGUAUUUGUUUUAUGUACUGGGGUGCUCCUAUAUUGGGCACAUAUAUGUUGAUGAAUGUAAAAUCCUCUUCUUAUAUUGAUCCUUUUAUUAUUAUUUAGUGUCCUUUUUCUUUAUGGACUUUAUUUUAAAGUCUGUUUUGUCUGAUAAGAGUAUUGUGACCCCCUGCUUUCUUGUCAUUUCAGUUUGUAUGAAAUAUCUUUUUCCAUCCACUCACUUUCAAUUUAUGCAUGUCCUUUGCUCUAAGGUAUGUCUCUUGCAGGCAGCAUAUUAUAGGUUCUUAUUUUUUAAUCCAAUCUGCUACAGUCCUUAUGCUGUGGGGCAGCCAAAAAAGAAAAAAGAAAAAAAAAAACCCUAAAAAUGGCUUAAAGACUUAAACAUAGGGCAUGACACCAUAAAACUCCUAGGAGAGAACAUAGGCAGAACAUUUUCUGAUGUAAAUUGUACAUUGUUUUCUUAGGUCAGUCAGUCUCCCAAGGCAAUAGAGAUAAAAACAAAAAUAAACAAAUUAGGCCUAAUCAAAAUUUUAAGCUUAUGCCUAGAAAAAGGAACCAUAAAAAAAGGACAACCUACAGAAGAGAAUAUUUGCAAAUGAUGCAAUUGACAAGGGAUUAAUCACCAAAAUACACAUACAACUCAACAACAACAAAACAAACCAAUUGAAAAAUGGGCAGAAGAAUCACAAACUUGUAAAUCAACUAUACUUCAAUAAAACUUAAAAAAAAAAAAAGGGCAGAAGACCUAAAUAGACAUUUUCUCAAAGAAGACAUAAGAUGGUGAGGUGGCACAUAAAGAUAUGUUCACAUCACUAAUUACUAGAUAAAUGCAAAUCAAAACUACAGUGAGGUACUGCUAUUUUACGCUGGUCAGAAUGGCCAUCAUUAUCUCUUGUAGUGCAGUGGGGUAAGGAUCCAGUGUUGUCCGUGCAGUAGCUUGGGUUUCUGCUGUGGUGUGGGUUUGAUCCCUGGCCUGUGAACUUCCACAUGCCAUGGGUGAGGCCAAAAAAAAAGUCUGCAAAUAAAUGCUGGAGAGGCUGUGGUGAAAAGGGAACCCUCCUACACUGUUAAUGGAAAUGUAGGUUGGUGCAACCACUAAUGAAAACAAUAUGGAGGUUCCUUGGAAAAGUAAAUAUAGAAUUACUGUAUGAUCCAGCAAUGCCACUCCUGGGAAUAUAUCUGGACAAAACUAUAAUUCAAAAAGAUACAUGCACCGCUAUGUUCUUAGCAGCAUUAUUCACAAUAGGCAAGACAUGGAAACAACCUGAAGGACCAUUGACAGGUGAAUGGAUAAAGAAGAUACGGUAUAGGAAAUUUCUUUGUGGCAUUGCAGGUUAAGGAUCUGGCAUUGCCACAGCUGUGUCCCAGGUUGCAGCUGCAGCACAAGUUCAGUCCCUGGCCCAGGAACGUCCAUGUGCCACAGGUGUGGCCAAAAAGAAAAUAAUGUGGUGUGUGUGUGUGUGUGUGUGUGUGUGUAUACAUAUAUAUAUAUAGAGAGAGAAUGGACUGUUACUCAGCCAUUAAAAUGAAUGAAAUAAUGCUAUUUGCAGCAACUUGUAUGGACCUAGAGUUAACUUAUAUGUGGAGCCUAAAAUAUGUUACAAAUAAACCUAUCUACAAAUCAAAAUUGUGAGUCAGUCAGAGAACAGACUUGUGAUUGCCAAGGAGGAAGGGGGAGGGAGAAGGAUGGACUGGGAGUUUGGCUUUAGUAGAUGCAAAAUACUACAUUUCGAAAGCGAAGCUGGCCAAGGAGGCCGAGCGCUACGAUGACAUGACCACUUGCAUGAAGGCUGUGACAGAGCAAGGCGCCGAGCUGUCCAUUGAGGAGGCAACCUGCUCUUGGUGGCCUGUAAAAACGUGGUAGGGGGCUGCAGGUCCGCCUGGAGGGUCAUCUCAAGAAUUGAGCAGAAGACUGACACCUCCAAGAAGUUGCAGCUGAUUAAGGACUAUGGGGAGAAAGUAGAGUCCGAACUGAAGUCCAUCUGCACCAUGGUUCUGGAAUUGUUGGAUAAGUAUUUAAUAGCCAGAGUUCCCAUCUUGGCGCAGCAGAAAUGAAUCCGACUAGGAAUCAUGAGGUGGCAGGUUCGAUCCCUGGCCUUGCUCAGUGGGUUAAGGAUCCGAUGUUGCGGUGAACUGUGGUGUAGGUCACAGAUGUGGCUCGGAUCUGGCAUUGCUGUGGCUCUGGCGUAGGCUCCCCCAGGGCUUUUGCUUCAACAUUUUUAAGGGUUACCAAGGGAGCUCUUGGGCCUUUUCAUCCUCUUUCUACCAUAAAAAAGGCUCCUGAACUUCUGUUGUCUUAUUCUUUAGCCUCUUUUUUCCAAUGCCCUUCCUUCUUACCUUAAGUGCAUUGUUCCCUCCCCAGCGACGACUUACCUCUCUCCAUGUUACUUGCCUUCUGGGAAUGCAAUGGCGCUGCCAGAAAAGUAGCGUUCUGUUUUGCAUCCUCUUGCUUGUCAUUAUUCUCUGCUGUUGAACACUUUAAAAACUCUGCCAACUGAGAAGGGUUCAUUCCACAUGCACCAUCUAACUUUUUGCCAUUUCCUUCUUAUAUCUGGGGCACUUUGCCCAAUGAAAGUCAUAGUUACCAUUCUCAUAUUUCCGUGGGCCUCAGUGUAGCACUUAUAGGCUGGAUAAAUUCUUUUAGAAACUCUGAUGGAUCCUCAUUGGGUUUUUGGUAUAUCUCCUGAAUUUUGUUUAAGCUCUUUUGCCUGGGUACCCCCUUGCAACGACCCACUAAGAUACACUUCCUGUAGUGCUCUAGGUGCAGCAUAUCUCCAUUAUCAGGAUCCUAGUCAGGCUCAGCAGUGGGAACUGCCAGAUUUGCUUCUGGGGUUCCGUCUGGAUCUGCUAGAUGAAGCUGGUUUGCUCCCUCUCUAGCCUUGUCAGUGACCAUCCUCCUUUCAUCCCCAGUAAGCAUCAUGUUCAUAAGAGUGUGACUGUCUGCUGAGUGGCAAAGAUAAAAGUGAAAAGUUCAGUCAUACGGAGGGGGUCCUCUCAGUAAACAGUUAAGCUUUUUCCAGUUAAACAAAUCUGAAGGUGAGAAUGGCUUUUGCAUCCAUGGAAACCCAGCUGGUUGGCCAUCUGCCUUAAGGCCUCCUACAGGGUAUUAGCAUAAGGGAAACUUCCCUGCUUCAGAAGUAGCACCCGGUGUUCCCGUUGUGGUGCAGUGGGAAAUGAAACGGAUUAGUAACCACGAGGUGGUGGGUUCAAUCCCAAUCCCUGGCUUCACUCAGUGGGUUAAGGAUCCAGCAUUGCUGUGAGCUGUGGUGUAGGUUGCAGACGAGGCUCGGAUCCCUCAUUGCUGUGGUUGUGGUGUAGGCUGGCAGCCAUACUUCCGAUUUAACCCCUAGCCUGCGAAUCUCCAUAUGCUGCAAGUGCAGCCCAAAAAUGCGAAAAAAAAAAAAGUUGCACCCUGUCCAAAUUGGGUGCCCUGUGGGGUCUGAGGGUGACAUGAAACUAGGCCCCUGUGCCCUAGGGCUUAACAUAGAAACUUCUAACUGAUCCCCAUAAGGGGGGGAAUCAGAGAUAGUAUAUAUGCUGGUGGUAUGUGGCGGUAGGAACACCACUCUCAUGCCCUCCCUCUCCUUCUUGUAAACAGGUUUUCCCUUGGUCUUCCUUUCAGAUUGCUGUACCAUAAGGUGGCAGCUGUCUGACUUAUUUUCCUCCUGAGGCAAUAGGAAAAAAAAAAUGCUUGUAUAUAUAGAAUCUCAUCAUUUUCACCUUCUCUUUCACAAAACAAUUAUAAUUUUAAGAUUGGCUGAUAUUAUUAAGUGAGCCAUUCAAGGGCCAUUUCUCUCCUGAUCCUAACACAUAUGUAUUGAAACCACACACUACUGCAAUAGAGUAUCAUCUCUUUCUUAGUCAUACACCCACAGCUGUAUUUUGCCCAUUUAUUAUGUCCCAAGGGGCUUUCCUUAGGGACAGAUGGAGUAUUUCCCAUAGUUAUAAGUUCAAGAACAACACAGCACAAAAAAAUUCCAAUACCAAUAGAAAAAGCAGAUUCCAUCAUGGAUGAAUGCAAAACAAAAGCAAAUGAACCAGUUCAAAAUCAAACAGAGUCCAACAAUUCCCCUAUCCAACAGGAUACCCCCAAUCAAAUGCAAAACCCAUUGGCUUUUCCCUUAACGUUAAAGCCUUAAGUGAGGUGGAAGAAUUUUCCUGGUUGUAUACACCAGAGCAACUCACUGAUUGUAUGGAGCCUCUUGGCUCCCAAAUGUUGAUUCCUUGCUCCAGCUGCCAAGCACUGGGCCAGCUGGUGAUACUUCAGGGAAUUUCAAUGGGAAGAUCCUCAGCACAGGUGGUCCUGGCAUCUGCUAGGACCUUACCCCAAAACUCCCCAACUGGGGCCGGGGCGCGCUGGCCAAAAGCAGCGAGCUCCUGGCUGGCUUGCCAGGAAUUGAUGUCGAACCCAAGUUCUCUCUGCUCAUUGCAUGACAGGCCAGUGAAUCUAGAGGUGAGUUGUUGGGGCAAGGAAUAACAACUUUAAUAAGAAAGCUGGCAGACCCAGAAGAUGGUAGACUAGUGUCUCAAAAACACCUACCUUCUCUCAGUUCAAAUUCAGCCGCCUUUUAUACAGAGGAAGGGGAGGAGGCAGGGCCAAGUGACUCACUCACAGAUGCUUGCUUGGGGGAAGUGUCCACUGCAGUGCUGACCCAUGGCUGAACAGGACCACUAAUGGUUCUCUUGCUUACAGACAGUUUCAGGACGGAGAUGUGGGGAGAGGGCAUGGAAGCUCUGCAUCCUUUCCCCAUGCUUUGUCCAGUGUUUAUCUUCCAUCUGGCUGUUCCUGAGUUGUAUCUUCUUGUAAUAAA